rnacentral:rRNA from 1 species
GAUGAACGCUGGCGGCGUGCCGAAUACAUGCAAGUCGAGCGAACAGAUGAGGAGCUUGCUCCUCUGACGUUAGCGGCGGACGGGUGAGUAACACGUGGAUAACCUACCUAUAAGACUGGGAUAACUUCGGGAAACCGGAGCUAAUACCGGAUAAUAUAUUGAACCGCAUGGUUCAAUAGUGAAAGACGGUUUUGCUGUCACUUAUAGAUGGAUCCGCGCCGCAUUAGCUAGUUGGUAAGGUAACGGCUUACCAAGGCAACGAUGCGUAGCCGACCUGAGAGGGUGAUCGGCCACACUGGAACUGAGACACGGUCCAGACUCCUACGGGAGGCAGCAGUAGGGAAUCUUCCGCAAUGGGCGAAAGCCUGACGGAGCAACGCCGCGUGAGUGAUGAAGGUCUUCGGAUCGUAAAACUCUGUUAUUAGGGAAGAACAAAUGUGUAAGUAACUAUGCACGUCUUGACGGUACCUAAUCAGAAAGCCACGGCUAACUACGUG